GAGUUGGGAGAGACAGGCUCUUCUCUGUGGCUAGUGGCCAGCUGAUGUUUGAAGGAAGGAGAGAAGACAGAGCCUCUUUUCUGCAUCAGAAAAUAUUGUGAACACAGAUGUGGGCUUUAGCAACCUGGAAGUGCAGACUUCUUCUAACAAAAUGAACCCUAUAUGAAAUUCUGGAAAGUAAAAGAGGAAGCUAUAUGGGUGACCUAUUUGAGCACAACUGCAAACCCUGGAAAUGGUACAAGAGACAACCAAAAGAAAACUCUGACAGAUGGUCAGAAGCAGGUUAGCUGGUGACAGGAUGUUCUGAAGCCCCUCACCCAACAGAAGAAAGUCAUCAGAACUGGCAUUUCCUGAUACCUGAACUAGCAACAGAAAAUAGCUCAGGAACAGUUUUUCCCCCUGGACUGGACAAAAGUCCCUCUGACACCAUCAGGAGCAAAUUCAGGACCUGACCCAUAAGAACUGGUGGAGAAUCAUCUAUUGAAUAGAUGCUGAAUGUUUGUGCCUCUCUGCUCUCCAACAAGAUGUCAUGCUCCUUGAUGACGAGAGCCACCUCUGAUCUCCUAUAUCCAGUCAACAUCUUCCAGAAAACAGACCAUCAAUAUGCAUUUGCAGCAUAUAUUGCAAAGACAAUGCCUAGAAGAGAGCAGCCACUUUGUGACCAUGAAGUUGGAGUCCGCACUACAGAAGAUCUGCCACUGAACAACGUGCACCUGGAAGAGGAGACAGAACACGUAAUCCUAAGAGAAAAAGGAAGGGAAGGGCCGAGCCACGCACGCCCUGUUCCUUCUUUCACAUUUUUCACUGAGGAAGAGCAAGUGAUAAGUGCUUUUCUUCAGCCAAGCCAGAGGACCAUGGACUCUGUUGGUGUAGCCCAGAGGCAUGAGUCUCCCAAGACAUGGUAA
rnacentral:lncRNA from 13 species